UACGAAGGGGGCUAGCGUUGCUCGGAAUCACUGGGCGUAAAGCGCACGUAGGCGGCUUACUACGUCAGGGGUGAAAUCCUGGAGCUCAACUCCAGAACUGCCUUUGAUACUGGUAAGCUCGAGUCCGGGAGAGGUGAGUGGAACUGCGAGUGUAGAGGUGAAAUUCGUAGAUAUUCGCAAGAACACCAGUGGCGAAGGCGGCUCACUGGCCCGGUACUGACGCUGAGGUGCGAAAGCGUGGGGAGCAAACAGG
rnacentral:rRNA from 1 species